rnacentral:rRNA from 1 species
AACGCUAGCUACAGGCUUAACACAUGCAAGUCGAGGGGCAGCAUUAUCGAAGCUUGCUUUGAUAGAUGGCGACCGGCGCACGGGUGAGUAACGCGUAUCCAACCUUCCCCAUAGUCAGGAAUAGCCCGGCGAAAGUCGAAUUAAUGCCUGAUGUUUUCCACGGACGGCAUCUGAUGUGGAACAAAGAUUCAUCGCUAUGGGAUGGGGAUGCGUCUGAUUAGCUUGUUGGCGGGGUAACGGCCCACCAAGGCAACGAUCAGUAGGGGUUCUGAGAGGAAGGUCCCCCACAUUGGAACUGAGACACGGUCCAAACUCCUACGGGAGGCAGCAGUGAGGAAUAUUGGUCAAUGGGCGGAAGCCUGAACCAGCCAAGUAGCGUGAGGGAUGACUGCCCUAUGGGUUGUAACCCUCUUUUAUAAGGGAAUAAAAUACGGGACGUGUCCUGUUUUGCAUGUACCUUAUGAAUAAGGACCGGCUAAUUCCGUGCCAGCAGCCGCGGUAAUACGGAGGAUCCGAGCGUUAUCCGGAUUUAUUGGGUUUAAAGGGAGCGUAGGUUGACGUAUAAGUCAGCUGUGAAAGUUUACGGCUCAACCGUGAAAUUGCAGUUGAUACUGUAUGUCUUGAGUGUACAAGAGGUGGGCGGAAUUCGUGGUGUAGCGGUGAAAUGCUUAGAUAUCACGAAGAACUCCGAUUG